CCUACGGGAGGCAGCAGUGGGGAAUAUUGGACAAUGGGGGCAACCCUGAUCCAGCCAUGCCGCGUGUGUGAAGAAGGCCCUCGGGUUGUAAAGCACUUUCAGUGAGGAAGAACGCCUGGUGGUUAAUACCCAUCAGGAAAGACAUCACUCACAGAAGAAGCACCGGCUAACUCCGUGCCAGCAGCCGCGGUAAUACGGAGGGUGCGAGCGUUAAUCGGAAUUACUGGGCGUAAAGCGCGCGUAGGUGGCUUGAUAAGCCGGUUGUGAAAGCCCCGGGCUCAACCUGGGAACGGCAUCCGGAACUGUCAAGCUAGAGUGCAGGAGAGGAAGGUAGAAUUCCCGGUGUAGCGGUGUAAUGCGUAGAGAUCGGGAGGAAUACCAGUGGCGAAGGCGGCCUUCUGGACUGACACUGACACUGAGGUGCGAAAGCGUGGGUAGCAAACAGGAUUAGAUACCCUUGUAGUC
rnacentral:rRNA from 1 species